rnacentral:rRNA from 1 species
GCAGUGAGGAAUAUUGGUCAAUGGGCGGGAGCCUGAACCAGCCAAGUCGCGUGAGGGAAGACGGUCCUAUGGAUUGUAAACCUCUUUAGGCGGGGAGCAAUGCCGGGCACGCGUGCCCGGAGGGAGAGUACCCGCAGAAUAAGCAUCGGCUAACUCCGUGCCAGCAGCCGCGGUAAUACGGAGGAUGCGAGCGUUAUCCGGAUUUAUUGGGUUUAAAGGGUGCGUAGGC